rnacentral:rRNA from 1 species
UACGUAGGGGGCUAGCGUUAUCCGGAAUUACUGGGCGUAAAGCGAGCGCAGGUGGUUUAUUAAGUCUGGUGUAAAAGGCAGUGGCUCAACCAUUGUAUGCAUUGGAAACUGGUAGACUUGAGUGCAGGAGAGGAGAGUGGAAUUCCAUGUGUAGCGGUGAAAUGCGUAGAUAUAUGGAGGAACACCGGUGGCGAAAGCGGCUCUCUGGCCUGUAACUGACACUGAGGCUCGAAAGCGUGGGGAGCAAACAGG